rnacentral:rRNA from 1 species
GGUUAAGCGACUAAGCGUACACGGUGGAUGCCCUGGCAGUCAGAGGCGAUGAAGGACGUGCUAAUCUGCGAAAAGCGCCGGCGAGGUGAUAUGAACCCUUGACCCGGCGAUGUCCGAAUGGGGAAACCCAGUGUGUUCCGACACACUAUCGUUAACUGAAUACAUAGGUUAACGAGGCGAACCGGGGGAACUGAAACAUCUAAGUACCCCGAGGAAAAGAAAUCAACCGAGAUUCCCCCAGUAGCGGCGAGCGAACGGGGAGCAGCCCGGAGUCUGAAUCAGCUUGUGUGUUAGUGGAACGGUCUGGAAAGUCCGACGGUACAGGGUGAUAGUCCCGUACACGAAAACACACUUGCUGUGAACUCGAAGAGUAGGGCGGGACACGUGGUAUCCUGUCUGAAUAUGGGGGGACCAUCCUCCAAGGCUAAAUACUCCUGACUGACCGAUAGUGAACCAGUACCGUGAGG